rnacentral:tRNA from 1 species
GCUCAGUUGGCAGAGCGAUUCACUCGUAAUGAAUAGGUCAGGGGUUCGAUUCCCCUCUCG